rnacentral:rRNA from 1 species
AUUGAACGCUGGCGGUAGGCCUAACACAUGCAAGUCGAACGAGUGGCGGACGGGUGAGUAAUGUCUGGGAAACUGCCUGAUGGAGGGGGCUAACUACUGGAAACGGUAGCUAAUACCGCAUACCAUCAGAUGGGCCGAGAUGGGAUUAGCUAGUUGGUGGGGUAACGGCGCACCAAGGCGACGAUCCCUAGCUGGUCAGAGAGGAUGACCAGCCACACUGGGACUGAGACAAGGGCCAGACUCCCACGGGAGGCCGGAGUGGGGAAUUUUGCACAAUGGGAGCAAGCCUGAUGCAGCCAUGCCGGGUGUAUGAAGAAGGCCUUCGGGUUGUAAAGUACUUUCAGCGGGGAGGCGUUACCCGAACAAGAAGCCCCGGCUAACUCCGUGCCAGCCGCCGCGGUAAUAC